UACACACACACACACACACACACACAUAUAGAAAAAUUUAGGGUACAAUUCCAUUUUCAUUUAAGGUAUGUGUUUUGAAGCGGCAGCAUCACAGGUAACUGAUUUGCAUUUCUCAAGUUUGUAGUUAAAAUUGUGUUAAUAAUAAUGGCUCCCGUUAUUAACUGCUAGCCGCCAAUAAAAGCACACUGCUCACCCAGCACGGCACUCACAUCACAAACACAAGACUCAUUUACUUCUCCCCCAGUCUCUGAGGCAGCCACCUACCUACCCCCCGGGGUCUGCCCGAGGCUGGGACCUUGCGUAUCCACCUGGGUGUUCUGAUCUGCCUUCCCUGCCUUACUUCCCACUGCCCACGACCCUUGCGGAUUGCUCUUCUGCUGGGCACGGCCUUUCCUUGCUAACGGCCACCACUGCUGACACAGUGAUUGCCUGGGGGAGGAAUACAGCUCACCGCUUAGCCAGUCUGCCCAGAGCACAAGGUAGCCCUUCUCCUGUUCCUCACAGCCAUAGGGUGAGGCCAAAAGACGAGCGAUACCCCGGAGGAUCGCUCAGGGAACAGCUCGGAACCACCGCAGAGACCCAGGCUCAGACCCCCCAGAGGUUCUUAUCUGACAGCAGGAGUGGUUGCAUAAUUUGUGAUUCUCAGCACGAAGUAAAAAUCUGGGGCUCCGUGUACAAAAAUUCAGACUCUCAAGAUGGUGACAGCAAGAGUAUUAAACCAGUCCUGGAGGCCUUCCAAACGUGGGGCCCUGUGCGAUGGCCCGAGUUGUACCUGCACGAAACUGGCCUUGUUUGGAAGGGUUCUGCCUCACUUCUCGUCUGCUGUCAUGAGUCCGUGGACUGCUCACGCCUUAGCCCCCACUGGAAAAAUCCAGGCAUCUUCACAGCACCUGCUUCUGAUCCCAAAAUGAGGAGGAAGAUCUUCCCUUCAGUCCAGUUUGAGUUUUGCGUCCUCAUCCCCUGCACCCCCACGUCAGCCUCCUCCCUGGGUGAUCGCAAGUUGGGUCCUCUUCCUCCACAGGAAGGUCUACUCCCACCCGCAGGGUGAGGUCUGGCUCCACAGCCCCAAUAAGCCAAUCGCUUUAUAGGGUGACGUCAGCUCAUUUCUUAAGUCUGGUUAUUAAUAAACCAAGUUUGAUUGUUCAGUCUCAAGUGACACCUGGGAUUAGCAUGGGGGCAUCUGUCGUUGCAUGACUAGCCCACAGCUAACACCACCCACAUUUUCCUUGUAAAUGGCUUUCCUCCACUCUCCAUUGAUGCGGCUUGGGCAGGACUGACCCCACCUUCAGGGGUGGACUUGUGACCCAUUUCAGCCCAAUGAGCGUUAGAUCUAGGAUUUUAGUUGAAACUACGAGCUAUGAGGAUGUGACCCUGGAGCUGCUGGCAACCAUGCGACCCCAUGAGGAGAGGCCCACCCGUGAUUAAAGCUGAGCCAGAGGGAAGAAUGCUGAGGGUCAGCGAGAGGCUGAUACCAUUGUCUGAGUCCCUGGAUCCAACUGAGCUGGAUGUCGGCAGCAUCCCCACGCUUCUCAGUUACAUCAGCCAACGAAUUCUCUUUUUCGCUUAAGAUGGUUUGAGUUGGUUUUGUCACUGGCAGUCAAAAGGGUCCUGAUCACCAAGCUCCCCUUUUACAGGCAAUAAUAUUGCCUGUCCUGCUUACGCUCAGUGCUGUGGAAAUCAAAUGAGACAACUUCCGUGUGACUGCUCUGCAAACUACAAAGGCUGUUUGAAAUGUCCAAGGAGGGACAAUCAGCUAAUGCAGAGCCAGAAUAAAAGCCCAGUAUUUUUUGACACUCCAAGCCCAGUUCUCUCUCUGUCUCUUUUUAAUGGAGGUACCGGGGAUAGAACCCAGGGUCUCAUGCAUGCUAAGCACGUGCUUACCACUGAGCUGUUACCCUCCAUCCCCUCCAGUUUUGUUUUAUUGCUAGUGAGCUGCCUCUGGCUCUAAGAAAAUCAGUGAAAAGGGCAAGUGGUGGACAGAGCAGGUGGCAGACAGGGCAGGGAGUGGACAGGACAGUUGAUGGACAAGACAAGGGUGAACAGACAGGGUGUGGGCAAGGUAGGGGUGGACAGGAAGGGGUUGGAAAGGACAAGCGGUGGUCAGGGACCACUCUUUGUGGCCUUCUCAUGUGUUUGUGGUGCUGUACUGUGAUGUCUAGAGGAGCCCUAGGCUAGUCCCUGACUGUCCUCUGGGGGUAUUGCUCUGAUAUAGGGCAGAUGUGGCUUUUCAGGCAUGGGGAAGUGGGUCUUGGAGGGCACGACCCCAGAGCUCACCUGGCCCCUCACCUCACAAGCUUCUCCUCACCAAUCAGCCUCUCAUCCCAAGGGGCCAGGGCCCUGGCAUUUUUGAGUUUGGAUGUUUUUUUUGGUUCAGAUCUUUAGAGAUGCUGGGGGAGGUGUGCUGGCUUUGCUUCUCUGAAUCUGACUCUGCCGGGGGAUGGAUUUUUGCUCCAGGCACUUCUCAGAAGUACAUUGGGGAACCCCUUCCUUUCUUGGACGUGGGCUUGAAGGAAUCUCUGUUUUGGGGAUCCAGAGCCAUUCUGACCUUCAGAGGCAGAGCCCCCUCCUGGAGCUGUGGAUCUUCCAGCCUUUCAGAUCAGUCACUGAGUCAGGACGCAGAACUUGGUGGCAGCCUGAGAGAGCUGCCAGCAUUUGACCUGGUCCCUAAGGCUUUCCACCAUGUGAGAUGAGAGAUCCUUGACCUUUAAGAAGUCUUUAUGGGCACUGAUGUCCAUGUGUCACGUUGGGCUAAAGUCAGAUGUGGCCUGAGUCCUCUCUGUGCCAGACUACUGGUCCAUCCAUCCUGCCAGCCCCUUGGGGUGGGCAAUGGGCCUUGUUCCUGGAUGCUCAGGAGCACACAAUAGCCAGCAGAUGUUUGCUGAAUCUGUUCCCAAGAUUCUCAACCAGAAAUGCCUGGUUUCAAGGGGGGCACGUGGAAUGGAGCACUGAUACAAUGUAAGGAGAUGGCCCCAAUAACCUUUUCUCUUUCAUGGUUCUCUCCCCUGAGACCCAAAUCCCUAGGGCCCUGACGCAGGUACUGAGCAAGAUGGAAGCAGAGAUGGGGGAUGACGUCUGUGGGUAUGCCUGACGGAGGCUCCUGAAGAAGAAGCGUCCCUCCCCCACCUUCCUCUUUCCCCAUAACCAGGUCAAGUCCAGGGCAUUCUCAAGCUCAAAGGACAGUACUUCAGCUUUGUGAGUCUGAUUAACACAAGCCUGCCUGGAGAGAUGAAUCCACUCUUGACUGAGUGAGAAAAACUGGGUCUUCAGCCCUGCAGAGCUGAGGCCACACACUGGACUGCGUCGACACCCUAAAGCGAUGACAGUCUGUGAUCCCCUUGGCGAAGCCCUUUGCCCUCUCCUGACUCUAUUCCUUUGCAUGUCCAGCUUGCUGGGGUUUGAAUUUGGGCUCUGCCUCUUGUUAGCUGAGUGACCUUAGGCAAGUUUCUUAAUUCUCUGUCCCUCAGUUUACUCAUCUGUAAAAUGAGAUUAAAAUAGGGUCAUUGUUGGAUUGAAGGAUAUAAAGUGCUUAGAACAGUGUCUGGCACGUACCUGCUUUGUCAGGGCCUGCUGUUGUUAUUUGAGUUCCCAUAAUACCUACCUGCUGUGACCUUGAGCAAGUAACUAUUUUUUUCGCAUCCUGCUUCUAUUUCCUUAUUAUAAUAUGGAAUUAAUUAUAACAUCUACUGGAAAAAGCAUGGGGUGAGAAUAAAGUGUCAUAGCAUA